rnacentral:rRNA from 1 species
UAGGGAAUCUUCGGCAAUGGACGGAAGUCUGACCGAGCAACGCCGCGUGAGUGAAGAAGGUUUUCGGAUCGUAAAGCUCUGUUGUUAGAGAAGAACGGUGGUAGGAGUUGAAAAUCUACCAAGUGACGGUAACUAACCAGAAAGGGACGGCUAACUACGUGCCAGCAGCCGCGGUAAUACGUAGGUCCCGAGCGUUGUCCGGAUUUAUUGGGCGUAAAGCGAGCGCAGGCGGUUCUUUAAGUCUGAAGUUAAAGGCAGUGGCUUAACCAUUAUACUCUUUGGAAACUGGAGGACUUUAGUGCAUAAGGAGGGCGUGGAAUUCCAUGUAUAGCGAUGAAAUGCUUAGAUAUAUGGAGGAACACUGGUGGCGAAAGCUGCUCUCUGGUCAGUAACAAUCGCUGAUGCUCGAAAGCGUCGGGAGCCAACAGG